UGGGGUAUAUUGGACAAUGGGCGAAAGCCUGAUCCAGCCAUGCCGCGUGUGUGAAGAAGGUCUUCGGAUUGUAAAGCACUUUAAGUUGGGAGGAAGGGCAGUAAGCGAAUACCUUGCUGUUUUGACGCUACCGACAGAAUAAGCACCGGCUAACUCUGUGCCAGCAGCCGCGGUAAUACAGAGGGUACAAGCGUUAAUCGGAAUUACUGGGCGUAAAGCGCGCGUAGGUGGUUCGUUAAGUUGAAUGUGAAAGCCCCGGGCUCAACCUGGGAACUGCAUCCAAAACUGGCGAGCUGGAGUAGGGCAGAGGGUGGUGGAAGUUCCUGUGUAGCGGUGGAAUGCGUAGAUAUAGGAAGGAACACCAGUGGCGGAGGCGACCACCUGGGCGCAUACUGACACUGAGGUGAGAAAGCGUGGGGGGCAAACAGG
rnacentral:rRNA from 1 species